GAUUAAGUUAUUAAGGGCGCACGGUGGAUGCCUUGGCACUAGAAGCCGAUGAAGGACGUUACUAACGACGAUAUGCUUUGGGGAGCUGUAAGUAAGCUUUGAUCCAGAGAUUUCCGAAUGGGGAAACCCAGCAUGAGUUAUGUCAUGUUAUCGAUAUGUGAAUACAUAGCAUAUCAGAAGGCACACCCGGAGAACUGAAACAUCUUAGUACCCGGAGGAAGAGAAAGAAAAUUCGAUUCCCUUAGUAGCGGCGAGCGAAACGGGAAGAGCCCAAACCAAAAAGCUUGCUUGUUGGGGUUGUAGGACACUCUAUACGGAGUUACAAAGGACGACAUUAGACGAAUCAUCUGGAAAGAUGAAUCAAAGAAGGUAAUAAUCCUGUAGUCGAAAAUGUUGUCUCUCUUGAGUGGAUCCUGAGUACGACGGAGCACGUGAAAUUCCGUCGGAAUCUGGGAGGACCAUCUCCUAAGGCUAAAUACUCUCUAGUGACCGAUAGUGAACCAGUACCGUGAGGGAAAGGUGAAAAGCACCCCGGAAGGGGAGUGAAAUAGAACCUGAAACCGUGUGCUUACAAGUAGUCAGAGCCCGUUAAUGGGUGAUGGCGUGCCUUUUGUAGAAUGAACCGGCGAGUUACGAUUUGAUGCAAGGUUAAGCAGUAAAUGUGGAGCCGUAGCGAAAGCGAGUCUGAAUAGGGCGUUUAGUAUUUGGUCGUAGACCCGAAACCAGGUGAUCUACCCUUGGUCAGGUUGAAGUUCAGGUAACACUGAAUGGAGGACCGAACCGACUUACGUUGAAAAGUGAGCGGAUGAACUGAGGGUAGCGGAGAAAUUCCAAUCGAACCUGGAGAUAGCUGGUUCUCUCCGAAAUAGCUUUAGGGCUAGCCUCAAGUGAUGAUUAUUGGAGGUAGAGCACUGUUUGGACGAGGGGCCCCUCUCGGGUUACCGAAUUCAGACAAACUCCGAAUGCCAAUUAAUUUAACUUGGGAGUCAGAACAUGGGUGAUAAGGUCCGUGUUCGAAAGGGAAACAGCCCAGACCACCAGCUAAGGUCCCAAAAUAUAUGUUAAGUGGAAAAGGAUGUGGCGUUGCCCAGACAACUAGGAUGUUGGCUUAGAAGCAGCCAUCAUUUAAAGAGUGCGUAAUAGCUCACUAGUCGAGUGACACUGCGCCGAAAAUGUACCGGGGCUAAACAUAUUACCGAAGCUGUGGAUUGUCCUUUGGACAAUGGUAGGAGAGCGUUCUAAGGGCGUUGAAGCAUGAUCGUAAGGACAUGUGGAGCGCUUAGAAGUGAGAAUGCCGGUGUGAGUAGCGAAAGACGGGUGAGAAUCCCGUCCACCGAUUGACUAAGGUUUCCAGAGGAAGGCUCGUCCGCUCUGGGUUAGUCGGGUCCUAAGCUGAGGCCGACAGGCGUAGGCGAUGGAUAACAGGUUGAUAUUCCUGUACCACCUAUAAUCGUUUUAAUCGAUGGGGGGACGCAGUAGGAUAGGCGAAGCGUGCGAUUGGAUUGCACGUCUAAGCAGUAAGGCUGAGUAUUAGGCAAAUCCGGUACUCGUUAAGGCUGAGCUGUGAUGGGGAGAAGACAUUGAGUCUUCGAGUCGUUGAUUUCACACUGCCGAGAAAAGCCUCUAGAUAGAAAAUAGGUGCCCGUACCGCAAACCGACACAGGUAGUCAAGAUGAGAAUUCUAAGGUGAGCGAGCGAACUCUCGUUAAGGAACUCGGCAAAAUGACCCCGUAACUUCGGGAGAAGGGGUGCUCUUUAGGGUUAACGCCCAGAAGAGCCGCAGUGAAUAGGCCCAAGCGACUGUUUAUCAAAAACACAGGUCUCUGCUAAACCGUAAGGUGAUGUAUAGGGGCUGACGCCUGCCCGGUGCUGGAAGGUUAAGAGGAGUGGUUAGCUUCUGCGAAGCUACGAAUCGAAGCCCCAGUAAACGGCGGCCGUAACUAUAACGGUCCUAAGGUAGCGAAAUUCCUUGUCGGGUAAGUUCCGACCCGCACGAAAGGCGUAACGAUUUGGGCACUGUCUCAACGAGAGACUCGGUGAAAUCAUAGUACCUGUGAAGAUGCAGGUUACCCGCGACAGGACGGAAAGACCCCGUGGAGCUUUACUGUAGCCUGAUAUUGAAAUUCGGCACAGCUUGUACAGGAUAGGUAGGAGCCUUUGAAACGUGAGCGCUAGCUUACGUGGAGGCGCUGGUGGGAUACUACCCUAGCUGUGUUGGCUUUCUAACCCGCACCACUUAUCGUGGUGGGAGACAGUGUCAGGCGGGCAGUUUGACUGGGGCGGUCGCCUCCUAAAAGGUAACGGAGGCGCUCAAAGGUUCCCUCAGAAUGGUUGGAAAUCAUUCAUAGAGUGUAAAGGCAUAAGGGAGCUUGACUGCGAGACCUACAAGUCGAGCAGGGUCGAAAGACGGACUUAGUGAUCCGGUGGUUCCGCAUGGAAGGGCCAUCGCUCAACGGAUAAAAGCUACCCCGGGGAUAACAGGCUUAUCUCCCCCAAGAGUUCACAUCGACGGGGAGGUUUGGCACCUCGAUGUCGGCUCAUCGCAUCCUGGGGCUGUAGUCGGUCCCAAGGGUUGGGCUGUUCGCCCAUUAAAGCGGUACGCGAGCUGGGUUCAGAACGUCGUGAGACAGUUCGGUCCCUAUCCGUCGUGGGCGUAGGAAAUUUGAGAGGAGCUGUCCUUAGUACGAGAGGACCGGGAUGGACAUACCUCUGGUGUACCAGUUGUCGUGCCAACGGCAUAGCUGGGUAGCUAUGUGUGGACGGGAUAAGUGCUGAAAGCAUCUAAGCAUGAAGCCCCCCUCAAGAUGAGAUUUCCCAACUUCGGUUAUAAGAUCCCUCAAAGAUGAUGAGGUUAAUAGGUUCGAGGUGGAAGCAUGGUGACAUGUGGAGCUGACGAAUACUAAUCGAUCGAAGACUUAAUCAA
rnacentral:rRNA from 1 species